GCGGAGGAGGUUCAAGGGUA
rnacentral:miRNA from 1 species